rnacentral:tRNA from 1 species
GGGUGCUUAGCUCAGUUGGUAGAGCAUCGCCCUUACAAGGCGAGGGUCAUAGGUUCGAGUCCUAUAGCACCCACCA